GGAUCUCCUUGCAGUCCAAGGGACUCUCAAGAGUCUUCUCCAACACCACAGUUCAAAAGCAUCAAUUCUUCGGCGCUCAGCCUUCUUCACAGUCCAACUGUCACAUCCAUACGUGACCACAGGAAAAACCAUAGCCUUAACUAGACGAACUUUGUUGGCAAAGUAAUGUCUCUGCUUUUGAAUAUGCUAUCUAGGUUGGUCAUAACUUUCCUUCCAAGGGAGACGACGGCCCACCAGGCUCCCCGAUCCCUGGGAUUCUCCAGGCAAGAACACUGGAGUGGGUUGCCAUUUCCUUCUCCAAUGCAUGAAAGUGAAAAGCGAAAGUGAAGUCGCUCAGUCAUGUCCGACUCCUAGCAACCCCAUGCACUACAAGCCCACCAGGCUCCUCCGUCCAUGGGAUUUUCCAGUCAUUAGUUGUGGGUUGUCCCUGGAAGAGAAGA
ensembl:lncRNA